rnacentral:rRNA from 1 species
GUCGAGGGGCAGCGGGGGUAGCAAUACCCGCCGGCGACCGGCGCACGGGUGAGUAACGCGUAUGCAACUUGCCUAUCAGAGGGGGAUAACCCGGCGAAAGUCGGACUAAUACCGCAUGAAGCAGGGAUCCCGCAUGGGAAUAUUUGCUAAAGAUUCAUCGCUGAUAGAUAGGCAUGCGUUCCAUUAGGCAGUUGGCGGGGUAACGGCCCACCAAACCGACGAUGGAUAGGGGUUCUGAGAGGAAGGUCCCCCACAUUGGUACUGAGACACGGACCAAACUCCUACGGGAGGCAGCAGUGAGGAAUAUUGGUCAAUGGCCGAGAGGCUGAACCAGCCAAGUCGCGUGAGGGAUGAAGGUUCUAUGGAUCGUAAACCUCUUUUAUAAGGGAAUAAAGUGACCCACGUGUGGGUUUUUGUAUGUACCUUAUGAAUAAGGAUCGGCUAACUCCGUGCCAGCAGCCGCGGUAAUACGGAGGAUCCGAGCGUUAUCCGGAUUUAUUGGGUUUAAAGGGUGCGUAGGCGGCCCCUUAAGUCAGCGGUGAAAGUCUGUGGCUCAACCAUAGAAUUGCCGUUGAAACUGGGGGGCUUGAGUAUGUUUGAGGCAGGCGGAAUGCGUGGUGUAGCGGUGAAAUGCUUAGAUAUCACGCAGAACCCCGAUUGCGAAGGCAGCCUGCCAAGCCAUGACUGACGCUGAUGCACGAAAGCGUGGGGAUCAAA